UUGGGAAGGGUAGCCCUCCUUAGGGGCCGGCAACAUUGAAUUUUGGACAUUAUUUCCAGAAGUCAUAGUUUGAAGUACCUCAAAAUCUUUGAACUCAGAAAGGUGAGGAAAUGAAGACUCCUGGAAGCUAAACAACUUACCCAAGAUUACAUAACCAG